UACGGGAGGCAGCAGUGGGGAAUAUUGCACAAUGGGCGCAAGCCUGAUGCAGCCAUGCCGCGUGUAUGAAGAAGGCCUUCGGGUUGUAAAGUACUUUCAGUCGUGAGGAAGGUGUUAAGGUUAAUAACCUUAGCAAUUGACGUUAGCGACAGAAGAAGCACCGGCUAACUCCGUGCCAGCAGCCGCGGUAAUACGGAGGGUGCGAGCGUUAAUCGGAAUUACUGGGCGUAAAGGGCACGCAGGCGGUUAAUUAAGUUGGAUGUGAAAUCCCCGGGCUUAACCUGGGAAUGGCACUCAAGACUGGUUAGCUAGAGUCUUGUAGAGGGGGUAGAAUUCCAUGUGUAGCGGUGAAAUGCGUAGAGAUGUGGAGGAAUACCGGUGGCGAAGGCGGCCCCUGGACAAAGACUGACGCUCAUGUGCAAAAGCGUGGGGAGCAAACAGGGAUUAGAUACC
rnacentral:rRNA from 1 species